rnacentral:lncRNA from 1 species
GCGCCGCAGCAAGCUGGCACCGCUCGUCCUCGCUCGCCGCCGCGAAUCUCGCACCACGACCCUCCCCAACAUGCGCCGCUUCAUGCCACGUUAUACCUGUGACAACAUACAAUACGACAAAGAAGAGAAAGCAGAACAGAAUAGCAAAAAUCGGGCAGCAAUAGGCCAACAAAUAACAGAAUAGAUUUCUUUGGAUUUUUUCUUCUUUUCUUUUCUUCUCC